CGGGACGUAGCGCAGUCUGGNAGCGCACCUGAAUGGGGUUCAGGGGGUCGGAGGUUCAAAUCCUCUCGUCCCGACCA
rnacentral:tRNA from 1 species